rnacentral:rRNA from 1 species
GGCCGCGGGAAUUCGAGUCAGGCCUAACACAUCGCAAGUCGAACGGCAGCGCGGGGGCAACCCUGGUGAAAAGAGGCGAACGGGUGAGUAAUAUAUCGGAGCGUACCCAGUAGUGGGGGAUAACUAUCCGUAAGGAUAGCUAAUACCGCAUACGAUCUGUGGAUGAAAGCAGGGGAUCUUCGGACCUUGUGCUAUUGGAAUGGCCGAUAUCUGAUUAGCUAGUUGGUAGGGUAAAAGCCUACCAAGGCGACGACCAGUAGCUGGUCUGAGAGGACGACCAGCCACCCUGGUUGGGGAGACACGGUCCAGACUCCUCCGGGAGGCAGCAGUGGGGAAUUUUG